rnacentral:rRNA from 1 species
GACGAACGCUGGCGGCGUGCUUAACACAUGCAAGUCGAACGGAAAGGCCCUGCUUUUGUGGGGUGCUCGAGUGGCGAACGGGUGAGUAACACGUGAGUAACCUGGCCUUGACUUUGGGAUAACUUCAGGAAACUGGUGCUAAUACCGGAUAGGAGCUCCUGCUGCAUGGUGGGGGUUGGAAAGUUUCGGCGGUUGGGGAUGGACUCGCGGCUAAUCAGCUUGUUGGUGGGGUAGUGGCUUACCAAGGCUUUGACGGGUCGCCGGCCUGAGAGGGUGACCGGCCACAUUGGGACUGAGAUACGGCCCAGACUGCUACGGGAGGCAGCAGUGGGGAAUAUUGCACAAUGGGCGGAAGCGUGAUGAAGCAACGCCGCGUGCGGGAUGACGGCCUUCGGGUGGUAAACCGCUUUCGGCUGUGACGAAGCGUGAGUGACGGUAAUGGGUAAAGAAGCACCGGCUAACUACGUG